rnacentral:rRNA from 1 species
GACGAACGCUGGCGGCGUGCUUAACACAUGCAAGUCGAACGGUGAAGCGCCUUCCUUUUUGGUGGGUGUGGAUGAGUGGCGAACGGGUGAGUAACACGUGAGUAACCUGCCCCCUUCUUCUGGAUAACCGCAUGAAAGUGUGGCUAAUGCGGGAUAUUCUGGGUCUGUCGCAUGAUGGGUCUGGGAAAGAUAUUGUUUCGGUGGGGGAUGGGCUCGCGGCCUAUCAGCUUGUUGGUGGGGUGAUGGCCUACCAAGGCGGUGACGGGUAGCCGGCCUGAGAGGGUGGACGGUCACACUGGGACUGAGACACGGCCCAGACUCCUACGGGAGGCAGCAGUGGGGAAUAUUGCACAGUGGGCGCAAGCCUGAUGCAGCGACGCCGCGUGAGGGAUGGAGGCCGUCGGGUUGUGAACCUCUUUCGCCAGUGAAGCAGGCCUGCCUCGUUUGUGGGUGGGUUGACGGUAGCUGGAUAAGAAGCGCCGGCUAACUACGUG